CUACCAGGGUUUCUAAUCCCGUUCGCUCCCCUAGCUUUCGCGCCUCAGCGUCAAGAAUGGGCCAGGUAGUCGCCUUCGCCACUGGUGUUCCUCCCGAUAUCUACGCAUUUCACCACUACACCGGGAAUUCCACUACCCUCUCCCACCUUCAAGCCGAUCAGUUUCCGAUGCAGUUUCCCAGUUAAGCCGGGAGAUUUCACAUCGGACUUGACCAGCCGCCUGCGCGCUCUUUACGCCCAGUAAAUCCGGACAACGCUUGCCACCUACGUAUUACCGCGGCUGCUGGCAC
rnacentral:rRNA from 1 species